rnacentral:rRNA from 1 species
AAUGAACGUUGGCGGCAUGGAUUAGGCAUGCAAGUCGAGCGAGAAGAGUUUUGAAGCUUGCUUUAGAACUCGGACAGCGGCGAAAGGGAGAGUAACGCGUAGUUAUGUGCCCUAGGGUCCGGAAUAGCCACGGGAAACUGUGGGUAAUGCCGGAUAAUAUCCCCGGAUCAAAGGUGUGAUUCCGCCCUAGGAGCAGACUGCGUCCUACUAGCUAGUUGGUGGGGUAAUGGCCUACAAAGGCAAUGAUGGGUAGCGGGUGUGAGAGCAUGACCCGUCUCACUGGGACUGAGACACUGCCCAGACACCAACGGGUGGCUGCAGUCGAGAAUCUUCGGCAAUGGGCGAAAGCCUGACCGAGCGAUGCCGCGUGCGGGAUGAAGGCCCUCGGGUUGUAAACCGCUGUCGUAGGGGAGGAAGGUUCCGUGAAGAGCGGAAUUUGACCUAUCCUAGGAGGAAGUACGGGCUAAGUUCGUGCCAGCAGCCGCGGUAAAAC